CUGAUCGCACCCCCAUCAACUCCGAACGAAAACCCAGCUGUAAAUUCUCCAAUUUCUCGUCAAUGGCUUCCAACGGAAGGUCUUUCUUAGGCGCCAUGGAACGUAGAGGCUCUGAUACCACUAUGAUAGGGACCAACCUGUAAAUUCAGCAAACAAACUAACACAGACAACAGAAUGAAUAAACUCAGCUUUGCAUUAAUGGAAUUUCCUGGAGUUCGAGAGCCAAGGUCUCUCCUCAGUCCAAACAGACUACAAUAUCAGCAUAAGAAAAUACAUUUAGUUACUACCCCUUUAUUUACUACUCAAGCUUACCCCAAACCCGUGCACCCUCACACAGAGGAAAAACACUCCUCUAACUAACAUUCUAGCCACUUACUGAGCUGGCAGCCCCUUUUCCCUUCCUUGUAUACACGUAUGUGAUUGGAGGCCUAUCAUUCCCCUUGAUCUGCGAGACAGACCUUCCAUCUAGUUCUGCCUGACUUUCCAUCUAGUCAACAAAUCUAGACUUAGGAACCUAAACUUUCACUAUUUCUCAGUUCUCAGACGAGACACUAUUAUGUACUUGAGUCAAUUGGUAUGCCAGAAUGCAAGCUUGGCCUUAACGAUCGAGUGUUGCUAGAGGCACAAGGCAGAGCAACAAAGGGAAAAGCUAUUAAUUUGGAAGACAUCAAAUUUCAUCAGUAAGUUGCUUUAACUUGUUGGUCUAAUUUAAUUCUAGUGUUGUCGAUGCAAGUGUUUUGGAUUCUAAAAUCGCUAUUUUAAGGAGAGAAGUAUCUUCACUUCUCUCCUUACAUCCUCUAUGGCAAUUGUUGUUGUCAUCUGCAAAAUCAUCUCUCAUGAGAACAGAACAAAGCACUUUGAUGGAUUUAAGGUCCAUUGACAAAUAAAAAGUUAACUAAUAUAUUACUAAUUUUACUUUAACUC